rnacentral:rRNA from 1 species
CCUACGGGUGGCAGCAGUGAGGAAUAUUGGUCAAUGGGCGAGAGCCUGACCCAGCGAAGUCGCGUGAGGGAGUACUGCCCUAUGGGUUGUAAACCUCUUUUGUCGGGGAGCAAAAGCCGGACGUGUCCGGCCGUGAGAGUACCCGAAGAAACAGCAUCGGCUAACUCCGUGCCAGCAGCCGCAGUAAUACGGAGGAUGCGAGCGGUAUCCGGAGUUAGUGGGGUAAAAGGGUGCGCAGGCGGAUGUUUAAGUCAGCGGUCAAAUCGUGGGGCACAACCCCAUCCAGCCGUUGAAACUGGGGAUCUAGAGUGUGCGAGAGGAAUGCGGAAUGCGUGGUGUAGCGGUGAAAUGCAUAGAUAUCACGCAGAACCCCGAUUGCGAAGGCAGCAUACCGGUGCACAACUGACGCUCAGGAACGAAAGCGUGGGUAUCGAACAGGAUUAGAUACCCCAGUAGUC